rnacentral:rRNA from 1 species
UGAGGAAUAUUGGACAAUGGACGAAAGUCUGAUCCAGCCAUGCCGCGUGCAGGAUGACGGCCCUAUGGGUUGUAAACUGCUUUUAUACAGGAAGAAACACUCCCACGUGUGGGGGCUUGACGGUACUGUACGAAUAAGGAUCGGCUAACUCCGUGCCAGCAGCCGCGGUAAUACGGAGGAUCCAAGCGUUAUCCGGAAUUAUUGGGUUUAAAGGGUCCGCAGGCGGUCUAUUAAGUCAGAGGUGAAAUCUUGCAGCUCAACUGUAAAAUUGCCUUUGAUACUGGUAGACUUGAGUCAUUGUGAAGUGGUUAGAAUGUGUAGUGUAGCGGUGAAAUGCAUAGAUAUUACACAGAAUACCAAUUGCGAAGGCAGAUCACUAACAAUGUACUGACGCUCAUGGACGAAAGCGUGGGGAGCGAACAGG